CCCGCUGAACUUAAGCAUAUCAAUAAGCGGAGGAAAAGAAACUAACAAGGAUUCCCCUAGUAACUGCGAGUGAAGCGGGAAAAGCUCAAAUUUAAAAUCUGGCGGUCUUGCGGCUGUCCGAGUUGUAAUCUGGAGAAGCGUUUAUCCGCAUCGGACCGUGUACAAGUCUUCUGGAAGGGAGCGUCAUAGAGGGUGAGAAUCCCGUCUCUGACACGGACAACCGAUGCUUUUGUGAUACGCUCUCGAAGAGUCGAGUUGUUUGGGAAUGCAGCUCAAAAUGGGUGGUAAAUUCCAUCUAAAGCUAAAUAUUGGCGAGAGACCGAUAGCGAACAAGUACCGUGAGGGAAAGAUGAAAAGCACUUUGGAAAGAGAGUUAAACAGUACGUGAAAUUGUUGAAAGGGAAACGUUUGAAGUCAGUCGCGUCGGCCGAGACUCAGCCUCGCUUUUUCAGCUUGGUGCACUUCUCGGUUGACGGGUCAGCAUCAAUUUUGAUCGCCGGAAAAGGGCUGGGGGAAUGUGGCAUCUCUCGAGAUGUGUUAUAGCCCUCGGUUCGCAUACGGCGGUUGGGAUUGAGGAACUCAGCGCGCCUUUAUGGUCGAGGCUUUUGCCUACGCAACGCGCUUAGGAUGCUGGCAUAAUGGCUUUAAGCGACCCGUCUUGAAACACGG
rnacentral:rRNA from 1 species